AUGCCCACAUCACGUCCCUCCGACGGCACGUCACCAGCUCGGGGUGCCUGUGCUGUCCCACAGCUGGCCAUGCUGCCAGCCCCCUGCUGCUGCUUCCUCAGCCUCCAGCCUGCGGAUCCCUCCCCGAUAGCCUGCUCGGUGUCACAGCUCAGGACGUGCGUUGGGGCCACCCCUCGGGGACAGGGGUGCAGCAGCUGGGCGGCAGGCAGGUGCCCGAGGAGAGCCUUAUCGCUGGGUACGGUGCCACAGGAGGGGACGUGUCCCACUCUGCUGUUUCUUCCCCCACCACCCAAAUGUGCCGUGGCGGGGCUGGAGGCAGCCCGGUGCCUGGAGCAGCCGUGUUCCCUCCCCACAUCCCAGGGUGAGCACCUGGGGCUGGAUUUCCUCAGAGCCUGCGGUGCAAGCCUGUGCCUCCUGGUGCCUAACCAGCAGCAGGAGUGCGGUGCCGGGGGCCCAGCACGCUCGGCCCGGUGGUGCUGGGGAUUUGCUGCCCUUUAUCUGGGAGGGAAGAGAUCUGACUGCAACGUGCAUGGGGUCUGCAGGGAGCCCGCUCUAAUGGCGAGCUUGCUGCGCCCUGCUGGAGCUGGCCUUGAUGCUCAUGUUCAAAGCUCGCUGGGGCGUAAGGGUGUAAUGCCACUGCCUGGGGAAGGUGCCUGUGCGCCCAGGAGUGUGUGUGCUCGGUGCUUCCAGCGCUGCUCGUGCAAACAUGACAGGGUCCCAGCAGGACAGGAGGCUUCUGACCUGCAGGCUGUAACCGCCCGAGUGGAAGUAGUGUGCAAAGGUGGAGGGUGGGGUUUCUGUUCCCUCCCCAACCCCCCGCUCUUUUUUUUUUUUCUCCCCAUGAAUUUCACAAGAAUAUUUUCACCGCUGUCAAGGGCACAAGUUCAGCUUCUGAAUGCCCCUUUGUCUUACGCAGCUCAGAGGAGUCACGCUCUCCCGCCGUGCCUUCUAGGAAAGGCAACAAAACGUUUUCCCUGCACCCUGCCGGCGGUGGCGGUGCCGCGGGCACUGUGCUGGGCCCCAUGGCAGGCGGCGAGCUGGGCGCUGGUGCGUGGCCGGUGUCCUGCAGCGCCCCGUGGUUCCCUGUCCUGGGUGGGAGAGGAGGCAGAGGCAGAGAGGGCAAGGAAGCGAGCCCAAGGAAGGGCUGGGAUGAGGCCGGGGAGCUGUGAGCUGGGCUGGGGAGGAGGAGGGAGCGGUGCCGGGGCUCGGAGGAUGCUGGCGAGGGGGUGGCCGGGGCAGGGUCUCUGUCACCCCAGCAGAACUGCAAGUGGGCAGAGGCGGUGGCAGCCAGACGUGUCACAAGGCUUGGGACACAGCCUCCUGGGGGUGACUCAAAGCUCACUUGACCUCGUUUCGUCAGGCUCGUUGGGUAAGAGCAGAACCUCCGGACAGUUUCAGCUUCGUUUUCCCAGGCAGAUAACUGACUGCCCCUCGCACCUCGCUGCCAGACCCCGCCUGCUCCUGCAGCCAGCCCCAGCUCCGCAGAGCCCCGCGGUGCCCGGGCACCAGCCCCGUGGUGCUGUGCCAGCCCAGCCCUCAGCGCCGUGCCCGCUGCUCGGAGCCUGGCAGCGUGGCCGUGCCGCCGGCCCCGUGCCUGGGGCUGUGCCAGGCUUCCUGCAGCCCUUCUGGAGGGAGGCUCUGAGGCUGCAGCCCUUUUCCCCCAGCUGCAAAUAUCGGGCUGCUGAAAAAAGGCUUGGAGAGCUCAAUCGUGCCUGGGAUGGUGUGUAUGAGAACCAGGUACAGGUACUCCUCAUUCCCAUCUUUGGCUGCUGA
rnacentral:lncRNA from 1 species